GAUGAACGCUGGCGGCGUGCCUAAUACAUGCAAGUCGAGCGAACAGACGAGGAGCUUGCUCCUCUGACAUUAGCGGCGGACGGGUGAGUAACACGUGGAUAACCUACCUAUAAGACUGGGAUAACUUCGGGAAACCGGAGCUAAUACCGGAUAAUAUAUUGAACCGCAUGGUUCAAUAGUGAAAGACGGUUUUGCUGUCACUUAUAGAUGGAUCCGCGCCGCAUUAGCUAGUUGGUAAGGUAUCGGCUUACCAAGGCAACGAUGCGUAGCCGACCUGAGAGGGUGAUCGGCCACACUGGAACUGAGACACGGUCCAGACGCCUACGGGAGGCAGCAGUAGGGAAUCUUCCGCAAUGGGCGAAAGCCUGACGGAGCAACGCCGCGUGAGUGAUGAAGGUCUUCGGAUCGUAAAACUCUGUUAUUAGGGAAGAACAAAUGUGUAAGUAACUGUGCACGUCUUGACGGUACCUAAUCAGAAAGCCACGGCUAACUACGUG
rnacentral:rRNA from 1 species